GCUUGCACCUCUGGUUAGCGGCGGACGGGUGAGUAACACGUGGGCAACCUGCCUGUAAGAUCGGGAUAACAUCGGGAAACCGAUGCUAAUACCGGAUAAUCCUUUUCCUCUCAUGAGGGAAAGCUGAAAGUCGGUUUCGGCUGACACUUACAGAUGGGCCCGCGGCGCAUUAGCUAGUUGGUGAGGUAACGGCUCACCAAGGCGACGAUGCGUAGCCGACCUGAGAGGGUGAUCGGCCACACUGGGACUGAGACACGGCCCAGACUCCUACGGGAGGCAGCAGUAGGGAAUCUUCCGCAAUGGACGAAAGUCUGACGGAGCAACGCCGCGUGAACGAUGAAGGCCUUCGGGUCGUAAAGUUCUGUUGUUAGGGAAGAACAAGUAUCGGAGUAACUGCCGGUACCUUGACGGUACCUAACCAGAAAGCCACGGCUAACUACGUGCCAGCAGCCGCGGUAAUACGUAGGUGGCAAGCGUUGUCCGGAAUUAUUGGGCGUAAAGCGCGCGCAGGCGGUCCUUUAAGUCUGAUGUGAAAGCCCACGGCUCAACCGUGGAGGGUCAUUGGAAACUGGGGGACUUGAGUGCAGAAGAGGAAAGCGGAAUUCCACGUGUAGCGGUGAAAUGCGUAGAGAUGUGGAGGAACACCAGUGG
rnacentral:rRNA from 1 species